rnacentral:rRNA from 1 species
CAGAUUGAACGCUGGCGGCAGGCUUAACACAUGCAAGUCGAGCGGUAGCACAGGGGAGCUUGCUCCCUGGGUGACGAGCGGCGGACGGGUGAGUAAUGUCUGGGAAACUGCCUGAUGGAGGGGGAUAACUACUGGAAACGGUAGCUAAUACCGCAUAACGUCGCAAGACCAAAGAGGGGGACCUUCGGGCCUCUUGCCAUCAGAUGUGCCCAGAUGGGAUUAGCUAGUAGGUGGGGUAAUGGCUCACCUAGGCGACGAUCCCUAGCUGGUCUGAGAGGAUGACCAGCCACACUGGAACUGAGACACGGUCCAGACUCCUACGGGAGGCAGCAGUGGGGAAUAUUGCACAAUGGGCGCAAGCCUGAUGCAGCCAUGCCGCGUGUGUGAAGAAGGCCUUCGGGUUGUAAAGCACUUUCAGCGAGGAGGAAGGUGGUGAGCUUAAUACGCUCAUCAAUGACGUACUCGCAGAAGAAG